rnacentral:rRNA from 1 species
AUUGAACGCUGGCGGCAUGCCUAACACAUGCAAGUCGAACGGCAGCACGGCAGUAGCAAUACUGUGGGUGGCGAGUGGCGGACGGGUGAGGAAUACGUCGGAAUCUGCCCAGUCGUGGGGGAUAACUAGCCGAAAGGUUAGCUAAUACCGCAUACGACUGAGAGGUGAAAGCGGGGGACCGGCAAGGCCUCGCGCGAUUGGAUGAGCCGACGUCGGAUUAGCUAGUUGGAGGGGUAAAGGGCCCACCAAGGCGACGAUCCGUAGCUGGUCUGAGAGGAUGAUCAGCCACACUGGAACUGAGACACGGUCCAGACUCCUACGGGAGGCAGCAGUGGGGAAGUA